CAUCAGCGGUUAUUGGCUAACCGCGUUUCAUAUUCGAACGCGAUUGGCAAGAUUUGGACUAAAAAGCGGCGCGUCAAUCAUGAAAAUCACAAAGUCAAAUAAACAGCGACAAUUUUUAUUGAAAAUCGAGAUUGCAAUCGAGAUUCAAUUUUUCGGGAGAAGAGGAAUGAAUGUUUUUGUCCCGAUUCGUUGAGCUCGAAAUGGAUUAUAUACAUACUAAUAAAUAUCUAAUAAUUGUUUAAA